UUCUAUAAAUACCCGAGCGUUCGAAUUCUGCGGCGUGAUUUUAUUUUAGCAAACAAAACUUUCAGUGCAUUACGCCUGGAUUAUUAUAGUUCAGUGGAGCAACGUGGAACUCAAUUCGCGUAUUCAGUCCAUUUUGUCUAUCUAUAGAUAUAAUACACGGCGUUAAAUUAUCUGUAGACCUAUAACAGAAGACAUUGGAGGGACAAUUUCGUAAAGGGUUGAUUGGGUCGUUGGCUCGCAGAGCUGAGAUUGAACAAUUGCAAGCUGCGAUAGUUACGAUGGUAUGACGCAAUACCUCAAUUAUAUUCGUAAAUUGUAGCUCCACUUUUUAAUUUAGAUUAAUCUACCGCAUCGUGAACUCAAUUGUCCGGGUCACGUUAUUAACCGUUGACAAUAUUCUCAUCGCAUAAUUGAAGAGUCUUAUUCGAAGAAAAAAAAUUAAUCAUACUAAUAAUGGUUUUUUUUCAACAAACGAUACCACAAUGUAAUAAUUAUUAUUCUCAUAUGACGUCGAUUCUGAUAUCGACUCGUCGUUAACCACGUCAGCCAUUUUUUUUUUUUUUUUUUCUAUUCAAAUCAUUUUUCUUUAGGUUAUUCUAUUGAACAAAUGCGUUGAAGGUAAAUAGCAUUCAAGGUCAGGAUCUUCGACAUUUACUACAGCGUAUGCGCAGUAAUCCAACCGGUCUCGAUAAUUUCACUAAAAAUUGUUCGACAAAUUCGCCUGGCGCUUCGUUCUCAUUUUUUUUCCAUCUCUGAAAAAGGCAUUGAAAAUACUCAAACAGACCAUUCAGAAUUUUUUUUGAAAUUUUGGAAUAUUAUUUCAGAUAUUACUCUAUAUGGUUACAAAUUAAUGAAGUUUGAAGUCUGACUAACGUGACUCUGAAUGGGUUUAUCGAAACUCAAAAAUUUACAAAACCUAGACUGGAUGUUUUUUCAUGAAACUUUGAAAAAAAAAAAGAAAUUUAAUAAAGCGUCACAUGUGCACAUGUAGUGUUCAAACCGAUAAAAUACGGUAAAACUGAAACUGCGGAAUAAAAGUUUUUUCAAAAAAAGCUCGACAAGGCUCAACCAAAACAGGAAACCUGCAAGUCCACCUUCGAUAAGUUUAUGAUGUCUUUUUCGUGAAAUGUAACAAAAUGAAAUUCACGCGCCUUAAUUCUGAGUAUAUUCAGAGUGCAAAGUUAUACUCCGCACGUCAUUCAUCAAACACGUGUUUUUUUUUUUAUCAUUGAUUCGAUCCAUUGUUAGAAAAAUCGGAUCUACCUUACCGACAAUCGUGGACGAGCGAUUGACGCGAUGCAAUAAUUAGAUCGUAUCGGAUCAAAUGCGACGCGACGCGACGCGACGCGAAGAAGUUUUUCUCGCAAGUAUUUUCUAUUCCGUCAGCUCGAAGAAGUUAAUGGCAAGGCGAGCUGGUUUUAUUGCCGUAGGCGACUGUGCUCUGCUUUCGACUCGGUCAGGGCCGUUCUCGCCGAUGAUUCCUCGAUUUGCGGACACUGUAUAAAUUCAAACAGUCUUGAAUCGGCACCUGCGAAACGUCGCCGGCGACGAAAAAAUGCAUCCGUAUGUAAGUAGGUAUGCCAGCCGGUCAACAGGAGUUUGUAGAAUCAUUUGGUUUGGCAUCGAAAAUGUUUUGCUAUUUUAUGAGCACAUAUAUGCGUGUAUUGUCUGUCACGAAUAGAUAUAAUCCAUGAAAAUUCGAGGACAUACGCAUCCGAUUAAAACGUUGGAAACAAUUUCUCGAAAAAUCUGUUCCAAAAAGUGUUCAAAUUUAAAAGAAGAAACAAGAAACAAAAAAAACUACGUAGUCAGUGAUUGUUAGUUUGGGAUCGGGAAUAGAAUUGAAUUGUAAAGUUCAUCGGCACAUCUCCUCGAUGAAAAAAGUAUCCUCUUCAAAUUUCAGAAAAAUCAGUUCUGUGCUGCUUGUUUGCCUAAAGUUUUCAAAAUUUCUUCUGAAAUUCACUCAAACAAUUUUCAAAACCCCCUUUCCAAAGAUCUUAUGAAUUUGGAUAAUUUGAAAUCGCAUGUGUGCGUUUCGAAAAAAAAAUUUUCCGUGAAGAACUUCUUUGAAUUUUGAAAUGAAAGUUAGGGAAACAUCAUAAUGAAAUAUGUAUGUUUUAUUUUGUUUAGUAAAAAUUUGUAUUUUUUCUUAAAGUUUCUGAGAAUUCCUUCUGAAAUGAAUUCGUUAAUACGCAGAUAGAAAUUGAACGUUCUGAUUAUUCAAAAAAUAUAAUUGGACGAUAUUUUUUCGGUAGAAAUGAAUAAAACUAUUAUGACGUAAACUAAAAUGAAAAAAGAAUCGAAAUUUCAAUCACGGAUUGUUGGCGAAAUGUAAGAGAAAUGUAGUAAUACAGGUUAAAUCGAUACACGUACAAGAGUGAUCCUCGAAAUAGUGAGUUUUUAACAUUUUUAGGUUCACUUUUCCAACGGUUUCAUUAUCCGAACAAAAAACUCCCUGAAGUUUGAGCUCUCAAUCUUUUUGUGAGAUUUUGGUGAAGAAUUUAAAAAAUUUUUUUUGCUUUCGUGUCCACUUAUAAAAAAUAAAAAACGCUUGAAAUCGAUAUUACAGAUCGGUGAAUCUCUACAACUUAAGCAUUUGUUGCCUGAUCUUAAAAUUCGACGAAUGCUAUGUAAAUGAAUCUAAUAGUAGUUAAUACGGUAUUAAUUCAAUAUAGUGGUAUUUAAGUAAAUUUUGAAAGAAAUUUAAUUUAUUCCUAUAGCAUUUAUCGAAUGUCAAAAUCAUAAAAAAGUGUCUAUUUGCACAGAUUCACCGAUCUUACCGAGAUAUCGAUUUUGAGCAUUAUCAAAUUUUUUUCAAGUGAAUACGAAGCAAAAAAAUUGAUUUCUAAUAUUUUUUUUAAAAUCACAAAAAAAAAAAAAAAAUCCCGCGGUGCGUGUUCCCGGCGGAAUUGCCAUGAGAGCUCAAACUUUUGGGCAUUUUUUUCCGUUAUCGAAACCGUUCGAGAGGCAAAUCUCAAAAACAGAAAAAUCAUCAUUCUACAUUCUAUACAUAUGUAUACUAUAUUUUUCAUUCCUCGUCGAUAACAUGCUUUGAAUAUCAUCAAGGUAUCACGAUGUUAACGAAUGUAAAGCUAAUCUAUCGAUUUAUCAUUUACGAGUUUAUCCGAGUAUAGGCGUGGGGAUCAUUGAUUCCAAUCGUAUAAUCCCACUAUAAUAUUCGAUGGUCUGGAGUUAUGCGGUAAUAAUAUCGAUUCAUUGUUUUAUAUACGAAUUUACCAUCAGUUUCACACGAAUCGAGUUCAACUCCGCAUAUACAGGGUGAGGCAUUUGUCUUGAAACACCCGAAUAUCUCGCUAUAGCUAGACGUUAUUCGAAAAAAUGGUUCACGACGAAAAGUUUUUGGCUUCAAAGACAAAAAACGCCAUUCUUUAUCAAGAUUACUCAAAGUCGCUCGCAUUUGGAUUAUUCAAUCGGAGGCCUUCGUCAUCGCCUUGUCCCAGUGCCAUCUGAAACUAUUUUGGAUUUUGAAAUUUGUAAGCGUAUCUGCCGUUACGAAACCUAUGUAUAAUAUAAAUAUAUAAGUUAGUAUGUGACAUAAAUAUGAGUUAGAAGUUUAUACAAACAUUUCCUAAUACAGUGGGACGAAUUCGAUGUCUUCUGGAAGAGAUUCAAACCUGUUCGAAAGUGUUUCUAUUUUCUAUUAGAAAUUCGCUUGCAGAUGAAUAUCUGUACGAUGCGUUACAGAGAGCAAAAAUGUUCACAAGCGUUUGGUCAGUUGCACUUUGAAAUAAAUUUAAAAAAAAUGAAAGAAUCGAAAACCGUGUUUUUCACGGUCAUAAUUGUGAUAGUCGUACUUUUUUCGUUUUUAACUAAUUUUAUUUGUAAAAUGUAAUCGAUUCGACAACUUCAAAGUCACUAUUUUAGAUAUCGAAAUUUCAUUUCCGAUUCCUAACCUGCAAGGAUCCAAAAAGUAUUCCAAAUUUCGGUUCGUCUUUUCGAAAAAAUUUCGAAAAUUCAACAUCUGCAGAUUCGUCAUGAUCAACGAUUCCAAAGAUCCGCUGUCACUAAAUGUCACGAUUUUCAGCGAUUUCGAUCGUCUAUUUUGACUUCUUUUGCAUAGCAAAAUAGUUGGAAACGGACCCACGGCGGAAAUCCCUCAAGGACCGAUGUAAUUUUUAUCUAGCCGUUUUCUAGAUCAUCGCUGCAUUCCGUUGGAACGAACUGCGACAUUUUUUGAGAACCUGUUCAUCUUUAGAAAAUGGAGAUUCGGGAUCCGAAGAUUCAUUGAGAUCAUAAAAAGUUGUCUUCGAUCAAAACUAAUAUAUCAAUAUAAUUUUUUCUUGCAUCACCGAAAGUUCUGAAAAAUAAAAAACAUACUCCCAACGAAUAUACAUAUAUAAAUAUUUGUCUGUGAUUAUUUCGGCUUCCUCUAUGAAUUUUCCCGCGUCGUUCCUUUCUGAAGAGUAUUAUCCAUAUAAAAAAACGAAAACCUCAUAGGAUUACACUCGUGUUAUCUGUCUCUCUGUCCGCCCGUGACAGCUAUUUUUCUCCGAAUCUACCGCACGAAAAAAGUUAAAAAUUUGACAAAUAUGCAGGAGUUAGAUGACCCAAUCACAGACGUACGGUGUGAAUAAGCGAAUUCCGAUUUUGGGGAUUGAUUUUGGCGGGCAAAUUGGAAAUUUUUUCCAAACGUAUCGCAUGAUACGUAUCGAACGAAAGGGUUCGUUGUGAGAAAAAAAAAAAAAUACAUUUUUCUCGUAACUUCGAAAUGCAUAGUUCAAAAAAUAUCGACAAAAAAUGUACGAAAAUUGAGCAUCCCCCGCCCCUCUCUUCUUAUCACCGAAACUACUGAGCCAAAAAUUUUGAAAAAAAUAGGGAAAAUCUUGAAACAAAACUUCUAAGUCUUCAAGUUUUCAUGGAGAACGGAAUGAAACGAAAUCACCGGUGUUUUUUUUUUUAUCCUCAUGGCAAUUUCCGUAG